rnacentral:rRNA from 1 species
GCCAAGACGUAAAAUAACUCACACACUAAACGCCAGGGUAUUACGAGCUUUAGCUUAAAACCCAAAGGACUUGACGGUACCCCACCCAACUAGAGGAGCCUGUUCUAUAAUCGACAACCCACGAUAUACCCGACCAUUUCUUGCCUCCAGCCUGUAUACCUCCGUCGUAAGCCUACCUUGUAAACGCACAAUAGUAGGCCCAAAGGCUAAACGCCACAACGUCAGGUCAAGGUGCAGCUUAUGAAAUGGAAGCAAUGGGCUACAAUUUCUAACCUAGGACAAGCCAAACACUAUAUGAAAUACGGUUACAAGAAGGAUUUAGUAGUAAAUAAGAAAUAGAGAGCCUUAUUAAACCCAGCCCUGGGGUG